UUGGAAGGGAAGGUUGCUAGCAUUAUUCUUUAAGUUGAAGGAGACUCUAAAUUACUAGUCGAUUUCAUUAAUGGACCGUCAAUGAUGCUGGCGGAUAAUAAUUUAGUGUAAAUUUGCGAUUUUGCUCCAACCUCUGUGUCAUCGGAUAAUCCCUUUAUGGCGAGUGGUAGUGACAAAAAUGGCGAUCAACAACUGAAAUUGUAUUCCUGCUACAGGAGCUCUUGCUCUUUCCGUGUCCGAAUUGCCCUCAACCUCAAAGGGCUCAAAUACGAGUACAAAGCUGUAAACUUGUUGAAGGGAGAACAGUUUAGUCCUGAGUUUAGAAAGCUCAAUCCCAUCGGCUGUGUGCCGGUGCUUGUGGAUGGGGACUUAGCUGUUUCCGAUUCAUUUGCCAUUUUAUUGUAUUUGGAAGAAAAGUACCCACAACAUCCGUUGUUGCCUAAAGACCUUCAGCGAAAGGCCAUUAACUUCCAGGCUGCCAAUAUUGUUUGCUCAAGCAUACAGCCCUUUCAGAAUCAGGCAGUACUGAAUUAUAUAGAAGAAAUGGUUACUCCAGAUGCGAAAAUUGAAUUGGCUAAAGUUCAUACUGAGAAAGGUUUUGCAGCACUUGAAGAUCUACUGAAAAACUAUGCAGGAAGAUAUGCAACUGGAGAUGAAGUUUCUUUUGCAGAUUUGUUUUUGGCGCCCCAGAUUCGUGCAGCUUUUUUAUGGUUCAAUCUAGACAUGGCAACUGCAUCUUUUAUACAUUGAGUUGGAGUCUAUUCUGGCCCGUCAGUUUGGUAUAAUACUGUGGUAGGUUCAGCAUAAGAAAAGACCCAGUUCCCCCUUUUGUCCAGGUUGCAUGAGGCAUACAAUGAGAUACCAGCAUUCAUAGAUGCUAGGCCAGAUAAGCAGCCGGAUGCUCCUUCAUAGUAGUUACCGACAAGUUCAAGAG